ensembl:lncRNA
AGAUGAAGAACUCAGGAGAGCGGGCAGAGACUUGGAGCAGGUUACCAGGACAGGAACGAGACCAGAAACCAGGAAAUCAGUCUGAGGAACAAUGCUGGAGAGUCGGGCAAGAGUGGGCAGGUGCAUCACGUUGAGCUGACGAGCUGAGGGAAGACCCGGUGUCAGCUGACUGUGACAGGAAGCCUGGAAGGAAACAGGUCAAAACAACAAACUCCAUUAUUUGUAAUUAACUCAAUGUCCUUUAUGUUGAAUUUAAUAAGCCUAAAUGUUCUCCAUGUGCCGUGUCUCCUCCAACUGGAGAAAUGGAGAAGUUCUGGAGGUGAACCAAGAACCUGUUGGCAGGAGAAACUCCAGGCUGAGUCCUCUGAGGAACCUUACGUGAGACAGAGGGAAAUUAAAGGUGUUUCGGGAGAGAUGGGCCCAACGGAGAGGAAAACCAUCAACAAAACCUCUGGUAGCGGUUUUGCUUGAGAAGGAAAACCAGAACACCUGAGGGGGAUUAGCACCUCUUCCCGGCAUAACCUGCAAGUGUUUUUAAAACUCUCACGCCUGCGGAAGUAAAUCCGGAGAUUUCUUCACCUUAAAUCUGACUUUAUUCUUGCUUUAUUCUGAAGUCUUUGGUGAAAAUCUUUUAUUUUUCUGAGAGACUUGAGCUCCGGGCCUCAGCCAUCCCUACCUUGGAAUUCCACCUUGCUGCUACAGAUCACGCUUGCAGGCCAUUGACCUUUCGCUUGACCCGGGUCAUCUGAGGAUCAGACCUCAUCCAAGAGAUAAGCCAUGCCACGGCCUUCAUCAGCACCACUGUUAGAAUUGGACCUAUUCCUCUUCCUUCAGGCAGGAUCUUUAGAAGCCAUCUGAGGAUGAGAAAGAAGAGCUGCGGCGAUGCGUUCGGGUGCAGCUCCGGCUCGGCGUACACCUCUCCGCAUCUCCAUUCUCUGGACAGUUCCAUUGGUGCUCCUGUGCCUCCGACCCUCAGGAUAACGAAUACCCUCCGCAAUGCCAAAUCCAACACCUCAUUAUAUUUCUUGUCUUCUUUACACAUUGUUGGAUCUUUAAAACAGCCUUUAUCCACGAUUCUAUACCCUGUGUGCACCUAUAGAAGACUCAGGUCUAAUGAAGCUCUUUGGUUCUCUGAAAGCUACUUAUCCUGCAGCAAAUUAGCCUCCGGUCUGAUGCCCGAAUGAGUCCAUGACACCUGCACUCCGAGGCCACUUGAUCAUUUUUCUUUGAGCUGAAUUACUCCUUCACUUUACCUGUUGUAAAAUUCCACGUUUGCCGGCUCGUAAGGUUCCAAUGAGCGCCCCCCCCCCCCCCCCCCCCCCUCACCUCCACCCACCCACCCACCCACCCACACUGCUGCUGUCAUUAUUAUGCCGAACUGCUAAGGAGCCACACGACUCUGCAGAAGGAACAGAAAGCUUUUUGAAACAAAUUACAGGGUGAGCUGGAAGGUACGGCAGCAAUUCUGCCGAGUAAUUUCGAAAGGGCAGCCUGAACAUGCUCAGGAAGCGGGUCUGGAGAGCCUCGGCGCGUCUCCUGCAUCAAAAGAGCUCAAUUUCAGGGAAGGCGCUCAACAUUUGAAUGUCAAAAAUCCCGAGUUUCCUGCAACUCCUCCUUUUCCGUCUUCAAGGCAGCACCGAACAUACAGAGGCUGAAAAGACUGAACAUAAAGAACGCGGACGGAGAUGUCAGAGGUCUGGCCAGGGAAGGACGGGAAGGUCUGUUAUGGACGGAAAACAGGCUGCCAGCCUGAAGGUGAGCGUCACAGCAGACGCAAAUUAACCAGACAGAUGCCAACAAAAUACCGCAGGAGCUCAUCAGUUGUCUUUUCUUGGUUUUCAAAGUGUUCACACAGCCCCCAGAGACGAGUGUCGGUAAAUGUCACGCUCGUCAGUUGUUUGCAACCUCGAUGCCGCGUUUUUUUUCCCCGGGAACAGAGAGGGGAAACAGGCCGAGUGGCCGAGUAGCCCACUGGCAUUCAUUUCAGUGGAAUUCCCGCUUGGCUUUUUACUGUAAAUGGGCGCCGCGUUCAGUCACCUCUCCAACGCGCUCGGGUUUCUGCUCAUUAAAAAUAUUUGCCUGGAUGACACUGCUCCGCUUCCACCCAACUGUGGCUGUGUCAUCUGCACCGACAAUCUGUCAGACGUUCCAUUGUUUCCUUCUGUCACAGCCGACGAGGAUCUUUCAAUUACGCUGGAGCCUUCCUGGCUGUGUACAUCUGAUUUAAGGUGGAAAAAUAUCAAAUUAAGCCAUAAGAUGGAGAUGAGCAGCGUUUUACAACCGUAAACCCCAUUUAUUUCUCUCAGGCAGUUGUUUUGGAUGAAGUGGAACAAGCUAAUGCUAACUGGGGACAUUUAUAAUCACUAUAAACGCAGCCAGACUCGGGUGUGUUAAAUGUACUCAAUCAGAGGUUGUCGAACCCAGUCCUACAAGGGACGUAAUCCUGGUUUUCCCUCCCACCACGUAGGAAUACGGAUCCCAGAUGAAAGCAGGUGUCUACCUGGUAGGACAGAAAACCUGGAUGAUGGUCUUCAAAGCACUGGAUUGAACACCUGACCUAGCUUAACUGGCUAUCUUCCUGCCUGUUUCCCCACAUCUCUAGCUUCUACAUCGCUUUGUUCCCGGUCUGAGGUCCGCCGUGUCGGCGCUCCUCCUCUCCGAUGGUGCGGCGGCUCAGUCAAGACCGGUUUUGGCGCGCGAAGGGCUCAACCUUCGUCCUGACGGGCAACAUUUUUAGCAGCUCCGCUGCCACUGCUAAACUGUAAAUCAAAGCCUUCCUCGUAGCGGCGGCGUUCCCGACACGUGCGGCCGUCACGAGCAGAGCGAGCAGCUGAGCGACCUUUACUGCAGGUGUAAAUUAAACGUGUCCCCCCCUCCCCCCGUCUGUCCGCCCACAUCUGUCCAUCACGUCACCUGCACUUCCCUGCAGUGCAUUAUGGGAAAUGAUGCUAAACACACUUAAAUGACCUGCAGUGCUUGCUUUGAUCAGUCUGUUUGCUUUGAUGUGCGUUGCUUUUGAUGCCCCGAAACUAUGAAAAGCUGCGUAAUUGCUGACGGGAAAAGUUGCAUUUCUUCCCAAUGUUUCGGAAGAGCUCGCCGCCCUCCUCUCCCUCGCCACGAUGCGGGAUUGUUUGAGAGGGGGCGUAAUAUCGCAUUAAGGGGGGUGCGUUUCCUGAAUAGGGGUUGUGGGAUUAUGCCAAUUUGAGAUGUGCUUCGGCGACGAUCCCGUUUAGCCGGAGCGGAACUUUUCAUUUGGAUUUGUGGGUUUCACAAGAUGAGACCAAGACGUUCCGACCGACCUGGGAUUCUGUCCCGGCUCAAACUGAAAUUGAUUAAGUCGUGAUAUUCAAAAAUCGGCGUCGGGGUUUUCGCUGCGCGAGAGGAUGAUGGAUGUUCCGCUCCACCAGCGAUGUCAGCGGUGCCCUUCGGCGCCGCCGCGUCAUCCGUCAUCUGGGAGCAACUUUACCUUCCGGCGUGUCAACACGGCCACGCGGCGGCGUGUCAUUGAGCGCGCCUGCCGCGGGACCUUGUUUCUCCUCAUCAUCCUCCAUCCAUCAAGGCUUCUUCGGCGCUGAUCGACGGCGGCCCACCCACUUCGGUGCCCCCGAAACCGUCCGACCUUCGCCCGGGCCGCCGCCACCGAGCGCUGAUUAAUACGACAGCGUUCCCCCCUCACUGCCCGGAAGUGACAUCAUCCCAAAUGUGUUUGCCGUAUAAUGGCGCUCGAUGGAGGCGGGGUUUUGCUGAUGACUGCAUCCAUCACCUCAACGCCUGAAAAACUUUUACCGUUUAGGCAGAAAGUCGGUCAAAAGGAAGAGCAGCAGCGUUUGGUUUUGGCCUGUGACCAAUCGCAGCCGCCGUGGAGGUAAUAGCAGAUCAGUAAGUAAAUUAGCAUCAGAGAUGUGAGACGCUAACGGUGGAUUUUACCUGAGGAUGUGGAACGCUAACUCCUAAUCCUGCAUUAGAGGAAUACCUGAUGAGGAUGUUUGUAUGGAUGAGGGCUCCUUCCAUGUUUUAUACCCCUCUGAAACGGCAGAUGGUCAUAAAAUUUACAGACCCGCGUUAAUGUUUUACACUCGCGCAGGUUUGAGAGAAGCUAACACUUUUGGGACGAGAGGAAAUAUAUAUAUAUAUAUAUAAAAUAACAGGAAGUUGCUUUAUUUAUUUUUUUGAGAAAAUGCUUUACAGCCUUUGAUGGUAAAUUGCAGUUGAAACCACGUUUAUUCCCAACCAGCUGCAGAGAACACAGAGGUGAGUUAGCAGCUGCGCUAACGUGCAUAUUUUAAACCGUGUUGUUGCUCAAAUCUGGUCAAAACACAUUUAUAUGCGCCGCAAUAACCCCAUAAACCCCAUAAAACACAUGUUUUCUGCCUGAAAGGCUGAAAUGUGGCAUUUCUGCGCUCCUCAGAUGCCGCCUUCUAUUACAUUCACCCUUUCAUUUAUCCUUCUAGCAUCCUUCUCUAUCAGAGGUUAGCUGUGGAAAUGAGAACAAAACCAAAAACUGUUGGGGGAAAAAAACGGAUCGCUGCCCAUUAAAUUAAAGAGGCGAGCGCGCAGGCUUUAAUCAGCUCUGUGUGAUCAGAGUAAUAAAUAGUUUUAUUGCUUUCACAUCCGUC